rnacentral:rRNA from 1 species
AGAGUUUGAUCCUGGCUCAGGACGAACGCUGGCGGCGUGCCUAACACAUGCAAGUCGAACGGAGUAAGUAGCAAUACUUACUUAGUGGCGAACGGGUGAGUAACGCGUAGAUAACCUGCCUCUAAAUUGGGGACAACACCGCGAAAGUGGUGCUAAUACCGAAUGUGGUAACUUAGUUGCAUAACUGAGUUAAGAAAGAUGGCCUCUGAAUAUGCUAUCGUUUAGAGAUGGGUCUGCGUCUGAUUAGCUAGUUGGUGAGGUAACGGCUCACCAAGGCGACGAUCAGUAGCCGGUCUGAGAGGAUGAACGGCCACACUGGGACUGAGACACGGCCCAGACUCCUACGGGAGGCAGCAGUGGGGAAUCUUCCGCAAUGGACGAAAGUCUGACGGAGCAACGCCGCGUGAGUGAAGAAGGUCUUCGGAUUGUAAAGCUCUGUCGUUUGGGACGAACGUAUCCUGUGUAAAUAAUGCAGGAUAAUGACGGUACCAAAGGAGGAAGCCACGGCUAACUACGUGCCAGCAGCCGCGGUAAUACGUAGGUGGCAAGCGUUGUCCGGAAUUAUUGGGCGUAAAGGGCGUGUAGGUGGAUUCUUAAGUCGUGUGUCUAAGUGCGGGGCUCAACCCCGUAUAGGCGCAGGAAACUGGGAAUCUUGAGUGCAGGAGAGGAAAGUGGAAUUCCCAGUGUAGCGGUGAAAUGCGUAGAUAUUGGGAGGAACACCAGUGGCGAAGGCGACUUUCUGGACUGUGUCUGACACUGAGGCGCGAAAGCCAGGGGAGCGAACGGGAUUAGAUACCCCG